GAUGAACGCUGGCGGCAUGCCUAACACAUGCAAGUCGAGCGGCAGCACGAUAAGGUCGUUCUCUUACGGUUAGCGGCGGACGGGUGAGUAACACGUACAUAACCUGCCACUUAUUCUGGGAUAACAUCGUGAAACAAAUUAUACUAAUGGAUGAUAUUACGAACGGGUUAGUUCAUGAGAUCUUGGCACUUUGCUCGUCUCUGGGAGCCGGUGUCGUAUUAGCUAGUUGGUGGGGUAAGGGCACACCAAGGCGACGCUACGUAGCUUAUCUGAGAGGAGGAUCAGCCACACUGGAACUGAGACACGGUCCAGACUCCUACGGGAGGCAGCAGUGGGGAAUAUUGGACAAUGGGCGGAAGCCUGAUCUAGCCACGCCGCGUGGGUGAAGAAGGUCUUCGGGUUGUAAAGCUCUUUUGUUGGGAAAGAAAAGUAGUGGGUGAAACUGCUGACGUUUUGACGGUACCAAACGAAUAAGCAACGGCUAACUUCGUG
rnacentral:rRNA from 1 species